rnacentral:rRNA from 1 species
GAACGCUGGCGGCGUGCCUAAUACAUGCAAGUAGAACGCACAGUUUAUACCGUAGCUUGCUACACCAUAAACUGUGAGUUGCGAACGGGUGAGUAACGCGUAGGUAACCUGCCUGGUAGCGGGGGAUAACUAUUGGAAACGAUAGCUAAUACCGCAUAAUAUUAAUUAUUGCAUGAUAAUUGAUUGAAAGAUGCAAUUGCAUCACUACCAGAUGGACCUGCGUUGUAUUAGCUAGUAGGUGAGGUAACGGCUCACCUAGGCGACGAUACAUAGCCGACCUGAGAGGGUGAUCGGCCACACUGGGACUGAGACACGGCCCAGACUCCUACGGGAGGCAGCAGUAGGGAAUCUUCGGCAAUGGACGAAAGUCUGACCGAGCAACGCCGCGUGAGUGAAGAAGGGUUUCGGAUCGUAAAGCUCUGUUGUAAGAGAAGAACGGGUGUGAGAGUGGAAAGUUCACACUGUGACGGUAUCUUACCAGAAAGGGACGGCUAACUACGUG